rnacentral:tRNA from 1 species
GCCUUUGUGGUGUAGUGGUCAGCACGCUGUAUGCGUAUUCCAGAGGUCCGUGGUUCGAGUCCUGGCGAAGGGG